UCUGGCAGUGAUGACACCCUUGCCCUCUCUGAGUGGCUGAUGAGAGCAGUUGUAGCGCUCUGUGUGGCUGAGCCAGA